GAGAGAGAGAGACUCCGUUUGACGUUGAUUUAUGCGCCUAUAUCCCCGUUCUGGAACCCAAGUGAAGUGACUCUACUCUCCCAAUUUCCCCAAUUUCCUCCCCUGACUAGUACUCUCUCAACUCCGUAGUGUUUGUUGGUGGCGAGUGGUGGAAAUGAACGUUGGGGGCGAUGAUGGUGACGAAGAUGAACAAGAAAUUGACGAAGGCAACGACGACGACGAUGCCCUGUUACCAUCCUGACCUCCACAAGAAUCGAUGCCGUAGCCGAAGCAGUCCAUGGCGUCAGAGCCGCACGGGCACUGCCGUCGUGGCCGUGGCGGCACUCCUCCUCUCUACAACAGUAUGGCUCUCUCUUGUCUUCUCCGGGACCACCACCCACUGCUGGCAGCGUUUCAAGCAUUGGGAAGGCAGCCCCCAUUCUCUCCUCUGGACCGGGAGGAAUCGUCGUCGUUCCGAUCUUCUUUCGUCAUCGGCGCCCUCCUCGCCUCCGCCUUUUCCCACUCACAGUGGCAGCCCUUCGGUGGAGUUGUCGCUGGAGCACAUUGUGUUUGGCAUUGCCGGAUCCUCGCAGCUCUGGAAACGGCGCAAGGAAUUCGUGAAGCUUUGGUGGCAUCCUGAUGACAUGCGCGGCCAUGUCUGGUUGGAGGAGCCAGUGCCUCGCGAGGAUGGCGAUGAUUCCUUACCCGCUGUCAUGGUUUCCGAGGACAUCUCCCGCUUCCGCUACACCAAUCCCACUGGUCACCCUUCUGGACUCCGCAUCUCUCGCAUUAUCACCGAGUGCUUCCGACUGGGUCUACCGGAUGUACGCUGGUUCGUUCUCGGUGACGAUGACACCAUUUUCAAUGCCGAUAAUCUGGUGGCUGUUCUCCGCAAGUACGAUCCUUCCGAGAUGAUUUACAUUGGGAGCCCCUCCGAGAGCCAUUCUGCCAAUACCUAUUUCAGCCACUCCAUGGCUUUUGGCGGUGGUGGGAUCGCUAUUAGUCGCCCACUGGCCGAGGCACUCUCCAAGAUUCAGGAUGACUGCCUCGACAGGUAUCCCAAGCUCUACGGAAGUGAUGAUCGCCUCCAUGCCUGCAUUUCCGAACUUGGCGUUCCAUUAACCAGGGAACAUGGCUUCCACCAGUGGGAUAUUAGGGGUGACGCACACGGUCUUCUGUCCUCUCACCCCAUUGCCCCCUUUGUUUCAAUUCACCAUGUCGAUGCUGUUGAUCCCUUUUAUCCCGGCCUGAGCUCUCUGGAGAGCUUGAAACUCUUUACAAAGGCCAUGAGACUCGACCCCAGGAGCUUCUUGCAGCGAUCAAUCUGUUAUGACCGAGCACGACGCCUCACUUUUUCAGUCUCACUUGGUUAUGUUGUUCAGGUUUUCCCAAACGUCGUGCUUCCCCGUGAGCUGGAGAGCUCAGAGGUCACCUACUCUGCUUGGAACAGAAUACGUGACAGGAAUGAAUUCGACUUCGACACCAGGGAUCCUUACACAUCUGUUUGUAAAAAACCUAUCCUUUUUUUCUUGAAAGACGUAGCCAGACAAGGAAAUGCUACAUUGGGUUCAUAUGCGUGGGCCAGAGGAAGAGAAGAUUUGAAAAGAAAAGUUCUCUGCUUUCCACGUUCUCCUCCUCUGCGCUAUGUGAAAAAUAUUCAGGUCUUGGGUUUUCCAUUGAGCAGGAAUUGGCAUGUGGCGCCACGUCGGUUAUGUUGCAAAAUAAACCAAACGAGUGAAGAAAGUCUUAGAUUAACAGUUGGUCAGUGCGGGAAGACAGCUUUCAGUUCUGUCACUGAUUUUGUCUGACUAUUGGCUGGGGAGAGUGGCAAUUCGGUCGAUUAUUCUAUUUAUUGGGAUAUAUGGAUACUACCUAAAAGGAGUGUCUCCACCAUCGUAUGCUUUAUACUUGUUGGGAUACAUUAACUCUACUCCUGUCUUUCAAUGAUCAUAGAUCAACUGAGAUCCGGCAUUUGAAAAUCCAUCUUGCAGAUUGCAGAUAUGAGGGCGCUAUGUUUUACGAAGUUGAAGACGAGUGUCCACGCUUCAGCUCGGAUAAAAGAGAUGACUUCUGUUGACAGAUUCGGUCUUGUACUUUAUGGACCUUGUUUAGAGGUGAUGCAGAUCAUAGAAAUUGGGAACCACUUGGAACAGUGUAGGGUAUAUGGGAACACCGACUGUUGACUCUCGAAUAGUAUUUGUCAUCCUCUGUCAGAUUCCUUGUUGCAUUUUCUGUCUUGAUGUUGAAGAAUACCUUAGGGGCGGUGGUGGUGGUGGUCAAGGAAAAAAGGCCUUAGAAGCGAUUUGACGCACCGGGUAUGCAUGAGUGAAUGAAUAUUGAGGAGGUAUUUUGUCUUCAUUGCUGGUACUCGUCAGUUCUUAUGAUUUUUGGUCAAUCAUGGGCAAACUCUCUCUCUCUCUCUCUCUCAUACACACACGUGUGUGGUUGUGGUUGUUGUUGUAAAGUGAUCUUUCAACGUUGCCUGAAGAUACAAAGCUCAAAGUUGAAUCAAGUCCAAGCUCAACUCACUCUUAAGCCUAAAACAAAGUGCUAGUAUCUGAGAUGUGAUAAACUUUGAUGUUAGUGCCGGGAUGCAUAGUCAUACAAGUAAAUGGGGCCUUGAGUUGCUCAAAGAAGAGAGGAGGGGGGAUUUUCUGGUUUUGAGUUUAACUACACUAAUAUAAUUUAGUAUGUUAUUUAUGCCAAAGUUUUGCCCCUUGCUUAAAGUGGAGACAAAGUCUACCCACACUUUGUCAAAUUUUCAUACUGCAGGGUCAAGAUCGAGGGGAAGAGGGACUAUUAUUAUGACUUUGUUUAGUAAUAAUGUGUAGCCAUGUUCAUAUAGGUGCA